rnacentral:rRNA from 1 species
AGGACGAACGCUGGCGGCGUGCUUAACACAUGCAAGUCGAGCGGAAAGGCCCUUCGGGGUACUCGAGCGGCGAACGGGUGAGUAACACGUGAGCAACCUGCCCUUAGCUCCGGGAUAGCUCCGGGAAACCGGAAUUAAUACCGGAUACGACCACAGCCGACAUCUGCUGUGGUGGAAAGGAUUCCGGCUAAGGAUGGGCUCGCGGCCUAUCAGCUAGUUGGUGGAGUAACGGCCCACCAGGACUGUGAUCGGUA